rnacentral:rRNA from 1 species
UACGAAGGGUGCAAGCGUUAAUCGGAAUUACUGGGCGUAAAGGGUGCGUAGGCGGUUGUUUAAGUCUGUCGUGAAAUCCCCGGGCUCAACCUGGGAAUGGCGAUGGAUACUGGGCAGCUAGAGUGUGUCAGAGGAUGGUGGAAUUCCGGGUGUAGCGGUGAAAUGCGUAGAGAUCGGGAGGAACAUCAGUGGCGAAGGCGGCUCACUGGCUCAUACUGGACGCUGAGGUGCGAAAGCGUGGGGAGCAAACAGG